rnacentral:rRNA from 1 species
UACGUAGGGUGCAAGCGUUGUCCGGAAUUAUUGGGCGUAAAGAGCUUGUAGGCGGUUUGUCGCGUCUGCUGUGAAAAUCCGGGGCUCAACCCCGGACUUGCAGUGGGUACGGGCAGACUAGAGUGUGGUAGGGGAGACUGGAAUUCCUGGUGUAGCGGUGAAAUGCGCAGAUAUCAGGAGGAACACCGAUGGCGAAGGCAGGUCUCUGGGCCACCACUGACGCUGAGAAGCGAAAGCAUGGGGAGCGAACAGG